rnacentral:rRNA from 1 species
UACGUAGGUGACGAGCGUUGUCCGGAUUUACUGGGCGUAAAGGGCGUGCAGGCGGUUUGUUAAGUGCAGGGUGAAAGCUCCCGGCUCAACUGGGAGAGGUCCUUGCAUACUGGCGAACUCGAGGGAGGCAGAGGAAAGUGGAAUUCCCGGUGUAGUGGUGAUAUGCGUAGAUAUCGGGAGGAACACCUGUGGCGAAGGCGGCUUUCUGGGCCUUACCUGACGCUGAGACGCGAAAGCCAGGGGAGCGAACGGG